GUGAGGGGCCGCUGACGUCAGUGCGGGCCGCCCCCCGGUCUCGGCCGGGGCUGCGCCGCUGUGGGGCUAGCGGCAAAAAGAAUCAAAACCCGAGACAGAGGUGAUCUCUUUUAUUACACCAGCUAGAUAUUUGCCCCCCCCCCAAAGGGUCUGUAUUUGCAAGCUUUCGGGCACACGCACCCUUCCUCAGGCGUGGGAGAGUAUUGCAACGAUUGGAACAGUUCUCCUAGGUUGUUCAUGAAGACAUUGAACAAAACCAGCUCCAGGACCAACCCUUGUGGGACUCCACUUGAUACCAGCUGACAACUAGACAUUGAGCCAUUGAUUACUACUCUCUGAGCCUGAUGCUGCAGUCUAUCCACCCUACAGUCCAUUCAGCCACUUGGUUCACUGGAUCAGAUAGGCAUAGAAUUCAAGCUGCCUGCAGAUAUCACAGAGAAAAUGAAGACAAACGAAACAGGAACACAUUGGACAG